AUACUUACCUGGCAAGGGAGAUACCGUGAUCAAGAAGGCGGUUCACCCAGGGCGAGGCUCAGCCAUUGCACUCCGGCUGUGCUGACCCCUGCGAAUUUCCCAAAUGUGGAAAUCUCGAUUGCAUAAUUUAUGGUAGUGGGGGACUGCGUUCGCGCUUGCCCCUG
rnacentral:snRNA from 8 species